GGGUUCGACCGCACUUGCGGUCGGAGGUCAAUUCGGAUGGUCGGGCCGCCAUCCG
rnacentral:ncRNA from 12 species